rnacentral:rRNA from 1 species
GCGUGAAGCCCCCCUCAAGAUGAGAUUUCCCAGUAUGUAAGACCCCUUGAAGACGACGAGGUUGAUAGGUUCGAGGUGGAAGCGCAGCAAUGCGUGGAGCUGACGAAUACUAAUCGGUCGAGGGCUUAUCCUAG